GACGAACGCUGGCGGCGUGCCUAAUACAUGCAAGUCGAGCGGACUGAAUGGGAGCUUGCUCUUGUUCGGUCAGCGGCGGACGGGUGAGUAACACGUGGGCAACCUGCCCGCAAGACCGGGAUAACUCCGGGAAACCGGAGCUAAUACCGGAUAACACCGAAGACCGCAUGGUCUUUGGUUGAAAGGCGGCGCAAGCUGCCACUUGCGGCUGGGCCCGCGGCGCAUUAGCUAGUUGGUGAGGUAACGGCUCACCAAGGCGACGAUGCGUAGCCGGCCUGAGAGGGUGACCGGCCACACUGGGACUGAGACACGGCCCAGACUCCUACGGGAGGUAGCAGUAGGGAAUCUUCCGCAAGGGGCGAAAGCCUGACGGAGCGACGCCGCGUGAGCGAAGAAGGCCUUCGGGUCGUAAAGCUCUGUUGUGAGGGACGAAGGAGCGCCGUUUGAAGAAGGCGGCGCGGUGACGGUACCUCACGAGGAAGCCCCGGCUAACUACGUG
rnacentral:rRNA from 1 species